AAUUGGAGGGCAAGUCUGGUGCCAGCAGCCGCGGUAAUUCCAGCUCCAAUAGCGUAUAUUAAAGUUGUUGCAGUUAAAAAGCUCGUAGUUGAAUUUCGGGGUCAGUAGAUUGGUCGUGCCACUGGUAUGUACUGGUCUUACUGGCUCCUCCUUCCUGAUGAACCGUAAUGCCAUUAAUUUGGUGUUGCGGGGAGACUGGACUGUUACUUUGAAAAAAUUAGAGCGUUUAAAGCAGGCUAACGCUUGAAUACAUUAGCAUGGAAUAAUGAAAUAGGACGUUCGAUCUUAUUUUGUUGGUUUCUAGGAUUGACGUAAUGAUUAAUAGGGAUAGUUGGGGGCAUUAGUAUUCAAUUGUCAGAGGUGAAAUUCUUGGAUUUAUUGAAGACUAACUACUGCGAAAGCAUUUGCCAAGGAUGUUUUCAUUAAUCAAGAACGAAAGUUAGGGGAUCGAAGACGAUCAGAUACCGUCGUAGUCUUAACCAUAAACUAUGCCGACUAGGGAUCGGAUGAUGUUAAUUUUUUAAUGACUCAUUCGGCGCCUUACGGGAAACCAAAGUGU
rnacentral:rRNA from 1 species